UACGAAGGGGGCUAGCGUUGUUCGGAAUCACUGGGCGUAAAGGGCGCGUAGGCGGCCAUAUAAGUCGGGGGUGAAAGCCUGUGGCUCAACCACAGAAUUGCCUUCGAUACUGUAUGGCUCGAGACCGGAAGAGGUAAGUGGAACUGCGAGUGUAGAGGUGAAAUUCGUAGAUAUUCGGAAGAACACCAGUGGCGAAGGCGGCUCACUGGCCCGGUACUGACGCUGAGACGCGAAAGCGUGGGGAGCAAACAGG
rnacentral:rRNA from 1 species